rnacentral:rRNA from 1 species
GACGAACGCUGGCGGCGUGCCUAAUACAUGCAAGUCGAGCGGAUUGAUGAGAAGCUUGCUUCUCUGAUGUUAGCGGCGGACGGGUGAGUAACACGUGGGCAACCUGCCCUAUAGUUGGGGAUAACUCCGGGAAACCGGGGCUAAUACCGAAUAAUACAUUUCAUCUCCUGGUGGAAUGUUGAAAGAUGGUUUACGCUAUCGCUAUAGGAUGGGCCCGCGGCGCAUUAGCUAGUUGGUGAGGUAACGGCACACCAAGGCAACGAUGCGUAGCCGACCGGAGAGGGUGCUCCGCCCCACUGGGACGGGAACACGGCGCAGACUCCUACGGGAGGCAGCAGGAGGGAAUCUUCCACAAUGGGCGACAGCCUGAUGGAGCAACGCCGCGUGAGUGAAACAGAUUUUCGGAUCGUAAAGCUCUGUUGUAAGGGAAGAACAAGUACAGUAGUAACUGGCUGUACCUUGACGGUACCUUAUUAGAAAGCCACGGCUAACGACGUGCCAGCCGCCGCAGUAA